rnacentral:tRNA from 2 species
GGGACCGUCGGCUAGCAUGGUCUAGGCUAUGAGCCUCGGACGUUCGUGACCCCGGUUCAAAUCCGGGCGGUCCCACCA